rnacentral:misc_RNA from 1 species
GAUGAAGAACGUAGUGAAAUGCGAUAAGUAAUGUGAAUUGCAGAAUUCAGUGAAUCAUCGAAUCUUUGAACGCACAUUGCGCCCGCUAGUAUUCUGGCGGGCAUGCCUGUUCGAGCGUCAUUUCAACCAUCAAGCCCUGUUUAGGCUUGUGUUGGGGCCCUGCGGUUGCCGCAGCCCCCUAAAUGCAGUGGCGGGCUCGUUGUCACUCCGAGCGCAGUAGCGUAUCUCGCUCUGGGCGUGGCGGCGGGUGCUAGCCGUGAAACCCCCACUAAGGUUGACCUCGGAUCAGGUAGGAAUACCCGCUGAACUUAAGCAUAUCAAUAAGCGGAGGA